GGGGAUAUAGCUCAGUGGUAGAGCAUGCACGUAGCAUGCAUAAGGCUCUGGGUUCAAUUCCCAGUGCCCCA
rnacentral:tRNA from 1 species